AUGCAACGCGAGGGCCCUUACCUAUGCAAGACAUCGAGCGGACUUGCACGGAGCAUGGUUUGCUUCCUGCGGGAACGGUGAGACGGGUGCUGCAUGGCUGUCGUAAGCUGGGGUUGUGAAUGUUUGGGAUAAGUGCCUGAGGGACGGGGACCUUUUUCCUACUGAACCACUGUUUCUGCCGGGAACUUACAGUAUUACUGCACAGUGAUAAACUGGAGGAAGGUGGGGAUGACGUCAAGUCAUCAUGGCCCUUACGAGUAGGGCUACACACGUGCUACAUAUGGCGUAUACAAGAGAGAAGCGUAAUCCCUCGCGAGAGCAAGCUAUCUCUUCAUAAAGUACGAUCAUAGUCCAGACCCGAAUCUGAAACUCAGACCCGACUGAUAGUCCUGGAAUCGGUGGGGAUUGGGGAUCAGAAUUGCUACGGUGAAUACGUUCCCGGGCCUUGUACACACCGCCCGUCACAUAAUGGGAGUGGCCUUCUAAAGAUGUAUUUAGCUUUGGAUGAAAGGGAAGGAGCUGGUUACCCAUUUCUGUUUUCCACACGU
rnacentral:rRNA from 1 species